rnacentral:lncRNA from 1 species
GUUUGUGAUCAGUAAGGAAGGGUAUUCAGACAUCUGAACUUCUGCUCCUUCUAGGCCACCAUCUUGACUCCACCCCUAUGCAGGGAUAUUUCAAAACAAAAUAAACAAAAAAGGGUGAGGGGAGGAAUCCUCUUAAGUGUUCAAUAUGCACCAGAAGGACCAAAUAAAAAGAUAACAAAGGACAUGCAUGUCAGCUAGGAGGUAGGAAGUAUGUGUAAGGAAGCAUUUCUCAGAAUACUAUGAUUGCUAUUUCUUUGCCUUUGCAGAAUGCAAAAGAAGUUCAUGUUGGAUUUAAUUAGCCUCAGGGCUUGAGGAUGGAAGAAAGGACAGUUCUAGAACUCCAUGUUUUUUCCCUGUUAUGUGGCUGGAAGGUGAGGUGUGGAUGCUCAGUCCUCUUGAGACUACAAACAAGGAAAACCAAAGCAAGAACUAAAAUUCUUGUUAAGCUUUUCAAGGACUUGGAGAAAUUUGGAAACAUCAUGGGUAGAAUUGCCCUAAGGAGCUAGAGUGAGAGGAAAGGGA